GUCCCGCCAUGACAUUUUUAUCCCAAAUGACACAAGCCUCGAUAUCGGUAAAAUGACGUUGAAGGUGACGUCACUUAAUUAGAUAAUUGUUUUCAUUAAUUUGUUUUUAAAGCAACAGCCAUUAGUGUUAAAAUCAAUGAUAUCGGACGAAGAUUUUUAAGUUUAAACGUUUCAACAUUUAGUUAUCGCACUAGACUAGUACUUAGUGAAAUAUCACAAAUAAUGAGUGAAUUAGCAAUUGUUUCCCUUUGAAACCUACACGCCAUUAACGGUGUAUACAUGUGUGAAACUGGGUCAGAGAAAACAUGCAGUUAUUGCUCUGAAUAUAUGUGGAUAUUUAAAGCGCAUGGCGGAUUUAUUGGUUGUUAUGGACAACCUCCAGCAUUAUGAGAUAUAAAUGUUCACUGCAGUUUUGACUAUGCUCAGCAAGUGGAGUUGCUGUGAGUUCUCAUGCAGGCUCUCAGAUUUUCUACCUAGUGUAUGAAAAGUACAAUACUGCUGUUGGAAGAGGAGCAGUGUGGUAUCUAUGGUCCACCAUCACUUCAAGCAUUAUGGCUAUGGAUAAAAGAAGGUUUCAUUACAUAUGGACAAUUAUAUUGGACAAAAUAAGAAGUGUUCUAAUAAGUUCUGGAAUGUGGCUUGUUAUGAUGGGUCUACAUGAUUGACUUGGAGUACAACCUGAU
rnacentral:lncRNA from 1 species